rnacentral:tRNA from 1 species
CUCCUGGUGGUCCAAUGGCUAAGACUCCUUACUCCUGAUGAAGGGGGCUCAGGUUUGAUUCCUGAUCAGGGAA